CCAGGAGAAGCCCUGCAUGACUCACCGAGGGCCCAUGCUGGGGGCUUCCGGCCCUGGCGACACCAGACACAGAGCCACUGUUAGCUCCGAGAGUCCUGCUCACAGCUCAAGUCACUGCUGUGAGGAAAGAGCCCGCAGUGGUCAGCACGGGAGGUACUGAGACACCGGCCUCAGGCAGGGUGGCCACCUGGCCCCUUCCUAAGACAAUGCAAGACUGCUGGGAGGACUCUUCAUAGUGCCUCAGAGGAGGGUCUGCCCAGGUCCUGCUGGCGGCUCACGCACGAGGCUCUUAGGAAGAGCCACCCGCUCCUGCCCGAGAACUGCUGUCCAGCUGGGAGCUCACGGCUGGUCCCUCGCUGGCCUGUCCACGUGACCUGGAAGCAAGCUACCAAGCAACAGCACUCCCGGGGUGGAGACAGAGGACAUCUCUCCUGGGAGGCCUUGCGUAGGGGCUUUGAUGUCAGGGCCAGUCCUUCCUCGGUCCCCAAGGUCUCGGCCAGGCAGGCCCUGCCUUUGGAGAAUGUGGCUUCUCCAGGAGGGAUGCCGGGGGCUACAGUUCUCUUGUGGCUGCCUGCAGGGACCAGAUGCUGUGCAUGGAGGGGGGAGCCGGGACCAAAGCCAGCAACCAGCCCUGGUCUCUCCUUCUGCCCCCACCGGGCUCCAAGUUCUCUCUCCUUCUCUCUCCCUCCUGCCCCUCUGUGGCCUAACUCUGUCCUGGGCCACACAAGGAGACUGCUGUUCCUCCUGUCACGGAUAAGUUCGUGGAUUUGGCAGCUUGUCUGCCGUCAGUGGCCUCGCUUCUCCAGAUGGCCUGUCCUCAGUUUCUUCAGCCAUUCCUCGGGGUCACUGUGAGACCUGCAUGGUCCUGCAUGCCCUCACCUGGGCACACCAUGGGCACAGUGUCUCUGAAACUGUGCCUUCCGGGGCCCUGCUGCCGGCUGCUGGGAACUCCAGCUGUCCUCCCUCGGGGUGCUAAACCCCUGCUGGACUGUGUCACACCUGUCCCACGGAGCUUGCCACCCAUCAAACUCCCAGUUCUGAUAGCCACACCAAGCACUGCCCCUAAAUUAGGCCUCAGACCUGUUCUGGGUGGGCUCCAGCUCUUCAGGAGGGACACAGUGUGAAAAAUCACAGGGGUCAGGAGAACCAAGCUCUGCCUCUGAGUUCCCGUGCGGGCCGGCCGUGACUCAGUUUCUCUGGGCUCCAGCUACUCAUGCCUGGCAUAGGGACUGUGUGGGGAGGACCUCACGAAGGUGGUGUGGAAACAUGCUCUGGGGCCUGUGGACUCCCAGGGCUUUUCUGAGGGUGAAAGCCGGAUCUGUACCAGGGGACACUCCACAUGUAGACCAGCUUCUUCUCAGAAACCUCCCUUCCCCGCCCAGGGCCCAGCAGUCUAACCUUUCCAGCACUGACCCCUGCCACACAACCCCAAAGUCAGCUGCGGGAUCCAUGGGGUUUAAUGUGCCAAGGGUUCAUCUUUCCCAUGGCGUACCAAUCGGAGUUGGUUACAACUCCUGGCUCUGCCGAACUAACUGCGCUCUGCUUGGGGACAGUGUCCCUCAGCGCAAGUCAGGGAGUGUUUCAGAGACAGCCCUUCUGGGUAAGAGGAGGGUCUGAGUUCUCCCCUGGGAGGUGCUGGGGCUGUGUCCCAUCCAAUCACGUGGUCGCUCUGCUCUGGCUCCCCCUGCAGGUGGGGUGGGUGCGGCCCAGGGCCUCGGUUGGAGCUGAAAUUGGGCCUGGCACCCUGGAAGUCCGCUGAGGGAUGGGUCCCUUAGGAGGGACAGGGAGCAGCUAGCAGCUGAGGCCGGACAACUUCCCAGAGCCAGGGUGGGCAGAGUUAACUCCAAGAUCUAAAAACAUCAAGUUCCAGGACGGAGUACCCCGACCUUGAGAAGUCUAGGCUGCUCCCCCAGAACACACACAGCCCUGACUCCCCUUGACAGGAGGCCGGCACCGUGUACCAGGACCAUCACCAGGGUCCAGGCUUGGGUUCGUUGCUUAGUCGUCCUAAGCUGGGGCCAAGCAAAUCAAACAGACUCAGUAGCUUCAGCGGGCCUGCCUUGCCUGCAGCACGCCCUCCCAAAAGUACUGCUCUGACACUGACCCCCUGAAGAGCCCCCCAACACGCUCAUCCCGUCCUGCUUGCCAUCUUCCGAAGCAGUGCUGGGAGUCCUCUUUCCUGAGUGUCUUUAGUGGCAUUACUGUCACUGCCUUAAUGUCCUGAUUUGAUUUAAAAUGUUAACCUGUACUGGGCAUUUUGACUUUGGGGAAGAGCCAGAAGUUGCACGGUGACAGAUCCAGCGAGCAGGGUGGAUGAGACGCGCUGUGAUGCUUUUACAAGCCUGCCCUUCCUUGGAUGGUGCUCAGCAGCAGCAGUCCGCGAGUUUUUGUCACACCCUGUAAACACUCACGAAAGAGGACUUCCAGAUCUGCUUCAGAAAGUGGCAGGAACAACGGGGCAGUGUGUUUGGAGCAAGAGGGAGAUUUUGAGGGAGAUUUUGAGGGAGAUUACCAGCAAUGUGUCUUUUAUUGUAAUGUAUUUUAAAAAGGUAAACAUCCAUCUCAUUGUCCCAUCACGCCAUGUAUAUCCUGCCUGCUGCCCUCUGUCCCUUUGGGGCCCCGGGGUGUCCUCUCUGGGAAUUUCCAAGCAGUGGGAGGGAGUCUGUUUUCAAUUGUGUUCCACAGGUGGAUGAAGACAGCCCAGCCCAGCAUGGAGGCCGGGAAGGCGGGCCUGGAGUCCGUCACUCAUUACUGAAAUGACCAGAAGGCGGUUCGAGGGACUUCAGGAUGUGAUGUGUGCAUCACAGCCAGGCUGCGUGGGCAGAGCAGCUUCCUCCCAGUCAGAGUCUGGGCGGAUACGAAAGACAGUGGCCACUGACCGCUGCCUCUGAGACCCUGCUGUCCGAUGCUUCCUGUUUUUGCAGUGGCCACUCCUGCACCCGGUCCGUAUCUCUUCUUGCUGUUCUCUUCUGCACUUUCCCUUUCUUUCUCUACCUUAAAUGAAAGUUGUGUCCACCCAUUCAUCUGCUGUCCCUGCCAAUUCUUUGGGCAGGACAGGAAGAGCCUGGGGUCACCAGACCUGGCACCAUCCAGCCGCAGCCUGGGACCCAGCAGCUCAUUCCCAGCUGCUGUCUGUGCCUGAUAUCCCUGGACUUCCGCACACAGCAGGAGGAGGGACCCUCUGACCAGGGGCCGUGUCCCUCCCAGCCCAGGCCUCCCGGAGGCCCAUCUGUGUCAGUUUCCCAGGGUGGUGGUCACAGAUGACAGCAGAGCUGUCUUCUCUCACAGUUCUGCAAGGCAAGGCUGAAAUGGAGUGGCGGCAGGGCCCCGUCCCGACCCCCCCCUGCCUUCCCCAGCCCCUGACCCCUGGCCACUGCAGUCUUUGCCUCUGGCUUUCCUGGUCUCCCCUCUUUCCCCACGUCUGUCCUCUGCAUGUCACUGCAAAAGCCCUUGUGUUGGAUGAUCGGCUGAGCGCAUCUCGAGGCUCCCUGGGGUGACUGCACUCGCAAGAUUUCACACACUGGUAGGCUCCUCAGAUAGGACUCCAGCACAGGCUCUUGGGGCCACCACUCGACCCCGACAGCAUCUCCUGAGACACUCCCAGGUCACGGCAUGGCUGCCGCCAUCCUGCCUCCCCCGCCGUCCCUCUGGCUCACCGGGGUGCUCCAGCCCCGGGGCUUCCCUGACACUCUUCAGGGCCGGUCACCGGUCUGGCACCAGGGAGGCCUCCUCCCACCGCGUCAGAGUGCACCUCAAACACUCCUCUCCAUGCUCCAUCUGCCCCUGAUCACCACCGCGGAGCGCGUCACCGCUUCAUCUUGUUCUCCUCCCCCUGCAGCAGAAGCCAGGGAAGUUUGUAAGUUCUGCCUUGUUCUUGUGGUGCUGGGGAUUGAACCCAGGGAGCACUGAGCUACAGCCCCAGCUCUUUGGUUAAGUUUUUACUUUGAGAUGGGGUCUUGCUAAGUCGCCCACGCUGGCCUCUGACUGCAGCCUCCUGAGUAGCUGGGAUGGCAGGUGUGCGCCGCCUCACCCGGCUAAAUCCCACUGCUGUGUCCCAGCAGCCAGUAUAAUGCCUGGCACUGGCUGGCUGUGGCUGAGUGGAUGAAUAAGCAAGCCUUUGCCAGAGCUGAACUCUCAGCUGCCAGGAGUCCACGGCCACCUGAAGAUCACCACAGCUCCCUGCAGGCCUCCGCUACCCUUGGACUCUCUGGGGGCUCCAAUCCCGGCGUGGCCGCCUUUUCAAGUGCACGAGUCCGGAGAGGGGCCAUGUGGGUCUAGAAGAUGCUUCCUCACGCACAGCACAAAGCAGCUGUGGGCCUUGACCCUUCAGCGCCCCUCCUUCCUGGCCCGGCCCAGGUGUGGACAGGGCAGGCUGUGCUGGCCCUGUGCCCCGGGGGCCUCCAGAGCUACAUGGCUGGGGGGUGAGGUGGGGUCAGGGGCCUUGGGGGGAGCUCAGUCCUACAGUGGCCACCUCCCAGGUAGGCAUGGAGGGCUGCACACAGCCCUAACCAUGAGGAGACCCGACACGCUCCCUGACCAACUCCCCUAGGAUGUGUCACACCUCUGCUGAUGGCUGGCUCCAAGUGCUGGAAUCCCGCUUCCUCCCCUCUACACCCGGGCAUCUGACCAUGAAGACAGCUGUGCUGCGGCAGCGGAGCACUGGUCAGACGGUGUCUGAUGCUUGAGCCAGGCUUCUGGGAAAGCAGGGCCCUGUGCCCCCGAGUGAGGUCUGCUGUGGGUGUGCAGGUGACUGAGGCCCCGGGGGCUGAGGCUGGGUGAGCUGCUCGGGAGAGUGCUUUGGCCACAGAGCUAGGUGAGUCUGUGGGUUUGGGAGGCAGAGAAAAGGCCCUGGGGCAGGAGGCCCAAGUGAGCGGCUGUGUUUGGAGCACUCUGAGGCCAGUGUGGGCUGUAGGCUAGGAAGGCCGUGCCGGCCCAGCGGAAAGGGGGUCCCCCGGGCUGAGGCCCAGGUCGCUACUCUGCAUCCUGCAAGGCUGUGGCCCUUGGCAGCGGAGGCUGGUCCCCGGCAGGGUCUGGAUGAGAAGGCCACGCUCACCAGGGAUGGUUGGAAGUGAGGCCUCCUGUCCUCAUCCUGUCAGGCUAUAAAACGAAACGCCACACGCCGAGAGGCCUAACAACAACAGAAAUGAUCUGAGUUCCAGAGGCAGGAGGCCCAAGACCAAGGGCCUGCAGAUUCCUCGUGUGGUGGGGCCGCUCGCCGGCUGCUGGCGGCAGCGUCUUCCUGUGUGCCCGCGCAGUGGAAGGGCUCUUCUGGAAGGCCAGGACCCCAGGCAGGACUCCGACCUCCCAAGCCCUCCCAACCCCUUCCGCCCUCCCUCCGGACGCCUCAUCAUGGGCGGGGUUCGACACUGAGGGCCACGAGCAUUCCGACCUCAGCACCUCCUUGGGUCAGAGACAGCCCAGCGCACCCUCCCCACACAGGGGGCACCCUUGCACCUGGAGCGAUGGGCUGGGGAGACUGCCACGCCCAUCCAGGAGGCUGCUCUGGCAGGGUUGGACCUCAUUUUCCACCUGUGUGUGGAGCUGACGGCAGCGUGCCCAUGCAGGCUGGGCAGGUGUGGCUGUGCCCUGCAGAAAGGCUGGGCUGCCAGGCAGAGCCGGUCCCCCAGAAGAACCCCAGAACUCACGCCCAAAUGCAAUCGGCUCUGUAACAGUGUUAGCGCUGGGGUCAUUACGCAGUGACCAGGUGCUCUUAAAAAAAGGUCCGGAGACCUAUCUUGCCUUUCCAUGCAGGAAGACAGCGAGACGACACUGUCUGUGUCCUUACCGGAUGUCUAGUCGGCAAGGACUUCGAUGCUGGACCUCUAACUGCCAGAG
ensembl:lncRNA